AAAGCCUGAUCCAGCCAUGCCGCGUGUGUGGAGAAGGUCUUCGGAUUGUAAAGCACUUUUUUUUGGGAGGAAGGGCAUUAACCUAAUACGUUGGUGUUUUGACGUUACCGACCCAAAAAAAACC
rnacentral:rRNA from 1 species